UACGUAGGGACCAAGCGUUGUUCGGAUUUACUGGGCGUAAAGGGCGCGUAGGCGGCGUGACAAGUCACUUGUGAAAUCUCUGGGCUUAACCCAGAACGGCCAAGUGAAACUGUUGUGCUAGAGUGCAGAAGGGGCAAUCGGAAUUCUCGGUGUAGCGGUGAAAUGCGUAGAUAUCAGGAGGAACACCGGUGGGCGAAGGCGGGUCUCUGGGCCGAUACUGACGCUGGAG
rnacentral:rRNA from 1 species